AACAAAUAAGGUUGUUAUAGAGAGGUUCGGCUGCAUGUAGCUGAUAGCAUAAGAAAUUAAACAAGCUUAUUGCAAUGACUGUGGAAAACUUUGCUAUUGCAAAGAAAAGAAAUUAAGUUGCGAAGCCAUAAUUAUUUUGUCUUAGUUUAUUGCUAUUUCUCCCCUCCACAAAUUUUAUGUUCAUGGUUUUGUUGUGCCUCUUAUAGAACAAAAUAUAUUACUUAAUAUCCCUAAAGAGGACAUGUAUAUAUAGUAAAUCAAGAAAGGUCAUGCUCCAAUUGUUUCAUCUCUUCUUUGAAAACAGGCAUAGCUUCUUCUUGCAGACAAACCAAAACUCUGAAACCAUCUUUCUUACCUUCAGUAGCAGAAGAAUAAGGCAAGAAAAAGCAAGGUUCAACACUCCCAACUAAGUGCCUAGACAGUGGGAAGACAGUCACAGGUCCGCCCCAUCCAAAAUCAACUGUCUCGUGGCCUACGUGCCGCCAAUCUGUAAAUGCACUCACCCUAUUCCCUGCUGUAAUCCCUUCAUCAUAAUGCAGCUCCUGGAAAUCAAUUAACGAACGAACAUACUCAUCUGUGAUGAUGCUCUUGCUUUUCUUGAUCGCAUCUGCUGUUUUCCAGAUAGGUUGAUUGAUGAGGUCUUUUGCAAGGAGCUGCACGUAUAUUGGCACACAGCCAUUGCCCCAGUAGCCUGCUGGCAAUGCUGGCUUCACUGUUCUUCUGAUAUUGGUUAGAUAGGCAUACUUCACUAUCUCAUCACCUGGGAUUUUAGAAGCCUUUGCCCUGUUUCACAAGUAUUAACAUAUCAGUCCCUAGCAUAGACUAUUAACACAUGACAGUAUAUUAAUACCAAUUCCUUCCAAUGACACCAUUUGUCUGCAUAUAAUUGACAUUAAAGGAAUCCCAACCAAGAUCAGGUAACGAUUGCUGUAAUCCCUUCAUCAUAAUGCAACUCCUGGAAAUCAAUCAACGAACGAACAUACUCAUCCGUGAUGAUACUCUUGCUCUUCUUGAUAGCGUCUGCUGUUUUCCAGAUAGGUUGAUUGAUGAGGUCUUUUGCAAGGAGCUGCACGUAUAUUGGCACACAACCAUUGCCCCAGUAGCCUGCUGGCAAUGCUGGCUUCACUGUUCUUCUGAUAUUGGUUAGAUAGGCAUACUUCACCAUCUCAUCACCUGGGAUUUUAGAAGCCUUUGCCCUGUUUCACAAGUAUUAACAUAUCAGUCCCUAGCAUAGACUAUUAACACAUGACAGUAUAUUAAUACCAAUUCCUUCCAAUGACACCAUUUGUCUGCAUAUAAUUGACAUUAAAGGAAUCCCAACCAAGAUCAGGUAACGAUUAUUAUGUCAAGGGUCUGUAUAUACUUAUUUUUUGGUCUAAAAUUUUU
rnacentral:lncRNA from 1 species